rnacentral:rRNA from 1 species
GACGAACGCUGGCGGCGUGCUUAACACAUGCAAGUCGAACGAAGUGGCGAACGGGUGAGUAACGCGUAAUCAACCUGCCCUUCCGAGGGGGAUAACAGUUGGAAACGACUGCUAAUACCGCAUACUGACGGCGGGAAUUGCGGCUGAUUAGCUAGUUGGAGGGGUAACGGCCCACCAAGGCGAUGAUCAGUAGGCUGGCUGAGAGGGUGAACGGCCACAUGGGGACGUAGACACGGCCCAGACGCUUACGGGAGGCAGCAGUGGGGAAUCUGCCGCAAUGGACGAAAGUCUGACGGAGCAACGCCGCGUGAGUGAUGACGGCCUUCGGGUUGGAAAGCUCUGUUAAUCGGGACGCGGUACCGGAAUAGAAAGCCACGGCUAACUACGUGCCAGCAGCCGCGGUAAUUC